rnacentral:piRNA from 1 species
UAAAAUGUACGGAUCCAUCUUCAUAAUUGGGU